AGACCCGAAACCCGGUGAUCUAGCCAUGGGCAGGUUGAAGGUUGGGUAACACUAACUGGAGGACCGAACCGACUAAUGUUGAAAAAUUAGCGGAUGACCUGUGGCUGGGGGUGAAAGGCCAAUCAAACCGGGAGAUAGCUGGUUCUCCCCGAAAGCUAUUUAGGUAGCGCCUCGUGAAUUCAUCUCCGGGGGUAGAGCACUGUUUCGGCUAGGGGGCCAUCCCGGCUUACCAACCCGAUGCAAACUGCGAAUACCGGAGAAUGUUAUCACGGGAGACACACGGCGGGUGCUAACGUCCGUCGUGAAGAGGGAAACAACCCAGACCGCCAGCUAAGGUCCCAAAGUCAUGGUUAAGUGGGAAACGAUGUGGGAAGGCCCAGACAGCCAGGAUGUUGGCUUAGAAGCAGCCAUCAUUUAAAGAAAGCGUAAUAGCUCACUGGUCGAGUCGGCCUGCGCGGAAGAUGUAACGGGGCUAAACCAUGCACCGAAGCUGCGGCAGCGAACGUAUCACCCAAGACAACUUUACGGAGUUGACGAUUGACGGAGCGAAGCGACGUCAAAGCGUUCAUUAAAGUCGAGUUGGCUUAGGGAUACGUUCGUUGGGUAGGGGAGCGUUCUGUAAGCCUGUGAAGGUGUGUCGUGAGGCAUGCUGGAGGUAUCAGAAGUGCGAAUGCUGACAUAAGUAACGAUAAAGCGGGUGAAAAGCCCGCUCGCCGGAAGACCAAGGGUUCCUGUCCAACGUUAAUCGGGGCAGGGUGAGUCGACCCCUAAGGCGAGGCCGAAAGGCGUAGUCGAUGGGAAACGGGUUAAUAUUCCCGUACUUGGUGUUACUGCGAAGGGGG
rnacentral:rRNA from 1 species